AUUGAACGCUGGCGGCAGGCCUAACACAUGCAAGUCGAGCGGCAGCGGGAAGUAGCUUGCUACUUUGCCGGCGAGCGGCGGACGGGCGAGUAAUGUCUGGGAAACUGCCUGAUGGAGGGGGAUAACUACUGGAAACGGUAGCUAAUACCGCAUAACGUCGCAAGACCAAAGAGGGGGACCUUCGGGCCUCUUGCCAUCAGAUGUGCCCAGAUGGGAUUAGCUAGUAGGUGGGGUAACGGCUCACCUAGGCGACGAUCCCUAGCUGGUCUGAGAGGAUGACCAGCCACACUGGAACUGAGACACGGUCCAGACUCCUACGGGAGGCAGCAGUGGGGAAUAUUGCACAAUGGGCGCAAGCCUGAUGCAGCCAUGCCGCGUGUAUGAAGAAGGCCUUCGGGUUGUAAAGUACUUUCAGCGGGGAGGAAGGUGUUGAGGUUAAUAACCUCAGCAAUUGACGUUACCCGCAGAAGAAGCACCGGCUAACUCCGUGCCAGCAGCCGCAGUAAAAC
rnacentral:rRNA from 1 species